rnacentral:rRNA from 1 species
UACGGGGGGGGCAAGCGUUGUUCGGAAUUACUGGGCGUAAAGGGCUCGUAGGCGGCCAACUAAGUCACACGUGAAAUCCCCAGGCUUAACCUGGGAACUGCGUGUGAUACUGGAUGGCUUGAAUUCGGGAGAGGGAUGCAGAAUUCCAGGUGUAGAGGUGAAAUUCGUAGAUAUUGGGAAGAACACCGGUGGCGAAGGCGGCUCUCUGGACCGAUACUGACGCUGAGGCGCGAAAGCGUGGGGAGCAAACAGG